CUGAUGCGCGUCGACCGGAGCUUCGGAU
rnacentral:sRNA from 1 species